rnacentral:rRNA from 1 species
CGCGUGUGUGAAGAAGGCCUUCGGGUUGUAAAGCACUUUCAGUUGUGAGGAAAGGUUGGUAGUUAAUACCUGCCAGCUGUGACGUUAGCAACAGAAGAAGCACCGGCUAACUCCGUGCCAGCAGCCGCGGUAAUACGGAGGGUGCGAGCGUUAAUCGGAAUUACUGGGCGUAAAGCGCACGCAGGCGGCUAUAUAAGCCAGAUGUGAAAGCCCCGGGCUUAACCUGGGAGAGUCAUUUGGAACUGUAUAGCUAGAGUUUUGGAGAGGGGAGUGGAAUUCCAGGUGUAGCGGUGAAAUGCGUAGAUAUCUGGAGGAACAUCAGUGGCGAAGGCGGCUCUCUGGCCAAAAACUGACGCUCAUGUGCGAAAGCGUGGGUAGCGAACAGGAUUAGAUACCCUGGUAGUCCACGCCGUAAACGCUGUCUACUAGCUGUAUGCGGAUUCAUUUCUGUGUGUAGCGAAGCUAACGCGCUAAGUAGACCGCCUGGGGAGUACGGCCGCAAGGUUAAAACUCAAAGAAUUUUGACGGGG